AUGGGAACGCGAAGAACCUUACCUAGACUUGACAUCUUCUGCAUUAAUCGUAAUGGAUGAAAUCCCUUCGGGGACAGAAUGACAGGUGGUGCAUGGUUGUCGUCAGCUCGUGUCGUGAGAUGUUGGGUUAAGUCCCGCAACGAGCGCAACCCCUACUUAUUAGUUGUCUAACAAUUAAGUUAGAGCACUCUAGUGAGACUGCCCGGGUUAACCCGGGUAGGGAAGGUGGGGAGUGACGUCAAAUACAUCAUGCCCCUUACUGUCUAGGGCAACACACGUGCUACAAUGGUGAGUACAGAUAGAUGCGAUACCGCAAGGUGGAGCCAAACUCUAAAACUACAUCCCAGUUCGGAUUGUAGGCUGCAACUCGCCUACAUGAAGUUGGAGUUUGCUAGUAAUCGCGAAUCAGAAUGUCGCGGUGAAUACGUUCCCGGGUCUUGUACACACCG
rnacentral:rRNA from 1 species